UACGUAGGGUGCAAGCGUUGUCCGGAAUUAUUGGGCGUAAAGAGCUCGUAGGCGGUUUGUCGCGUCUGCUGUGAAAACUGGAGGCUCAACCUCCAGCCUGCAGUGGGUACGGGCAAACUAGAGUGCGGUAGGGGAGAUUGGAAUUCCUGGUGUAGCGGUGGAAUGCGCAGAUAUCAGGAGGAACACCGAUGGCGAAGGCAGAUCUCUGGGCCGUAACUGACGCUGAGGAGCGAAAGCGUGGGAGCGAACAGG
rnacentral:rRNA from 1 species